CGAACGCAACCUUCGGGUUGAGUGGCGGACGGGUGAGUAACGCGUGAGAAUCUGCCUUGGGGUCGGGGACAACCACUGGAAACGGUGGCUAAUACCGGAUAAGCCUUUGGGUAAAAGAUUUAUUGCCCCAAGAGGAGCUCGCGUCUGAUUAGCUAGUUGGUGAAGUAAGAGCUCACCAAGGCAGCGAUCAGUAGCUGGUCUGAGAGGACGAUCAGCCACACUGGGACUGAGACACGGCCCAGACUCCUACGGGAGGCAGCAGUGGGGAAUUUUCCGCAAUGGGCGAAAGCCUGACGGAGCAAGACCGCGUGAGGGAGGAAGGCUCUUGGGUUGUAAACCUCUUUUCUCAGGGAAGAAGCUCUGACGGUACCUGAGGAAUCAGCCUCGGCUAACUCCGUGCCAGCAGCCGCGGUAAUACGGAGGAGGCAAGCGUUAUCCGGAAUUAUUGGGCGUAAAGCGUCCGCAGGUGGCGAUUCAAGUCUGCUGUCAAAGCACGGGGCUUAACUCCGUUAAGGCAGUGGAAACUGAAUAGCUAGAGUGCCGUAGGGGUAGAGGGAAUUCCCGGUGUAGCGGUGAAAUGCGUAGAGAUCGGGAAGAACAUCGGUGGCGAAAGCGCUCUACUGGACGGCAAACUGACACUCAGGGACGAAAGCUAGGGGAGCGAAUUGGGAUUAGAUACCCCAGUAGUCCUAGCUGUAAACGAUGGAUACUAGGUGUAGCUUGUAUCGACCCGAGCUGUGCCGAAGCUAACGCGUUAAGUAUCCCGNCUGGGGAGUACGCA
rnacentral:rRNA from 1 species